GUCAUUUUGAUGGCACUGAUAUGUUCAUUAACAUAAAUACUUGCUUUUGAUAGAUGAAAUAAGGAUUCUGAGCAAGUUCCAGGCUUUUGCAGAUGUGCUCGGCUGCUCGCUGGAUUCUCUCCUGACCUUGGCUUCGGGUCUCCAUUUGAAGAGGAGAGUGCAGCACAGCUUGCCACAUUCCCCUUCACCAGAAAUAUUCUCUAAUUGGAGAUAUAUUGAAGAGACUGUUUCAUUAUGAUGUGAUGCACACUGCACAAUCACAUGUUCAGAUAAUAAAACCACCUGCCACAUCACUUAAGAU